GGCCGUGGGAGCGCCUGAGGGGCAGGAGCCCAGUGUUUUUAGCCUUCGAAGGACCAUGGUGUUUCCACGUCAUCGUGUUGUGGCGCUCCCGGCUCUGGCAGUACCGUAGUUUUCCUCUCUUCUGCCUGCGGUGACCGUUGGGCUGGGGGGUGCCCCGAGGCCUCCCUGGCCCCCUCACGCCGGCAGAAUGGCCUCAGCCCGAGGGGGCAAGCAGUCUUCUCCCCGGGUGGGGACCACCCGCUACACAGAGACGUCCACAGUCCGCGUGGAGACCUCGUCCCACCGCGUGGAGACGUCGUCCCGGCGGGUGGAGACCUCCCAGCGCCGCAGCGAGGGGCCCUCCCUCUCCCCCUUGGGGAAGCGGCUCCCUGGCAUCCACGAGGCGUCCUCCCGGCACGUGGAAUCCUCCUCGCAGCGCACGGAAACGACCUCCCGCCACAUCAGGGCCUCGUCCCUGAGGGUGGAGACGGCUCUGCACUUCGCGGAGAGCCCAGCCCCGCGGGCCAAGCCGGCCGCCCGCCAGAACGAAAAACCGGCCCGAUGAGAUGCUGCUUCCCAAAGGCCACCAAGGGGCCAGGGCCCUCAGCCAGGACAGAAAGGCCUCCAGUUGCCAGCCAGCCAGCCAGCUGCCAGGUGGACCAAUCAUUUUCGGUUUCAUGGAAACAAACCAUAAAUCAAUGUAAGAAACAGCCAAGCCGCAGUUUCUGAACACAGCCAACGUUUAUUGACCAUCCGGCGUCUUGGACCAGCCUACUUUUGACCCAGUGAACUAUUUUCACUUGAAGCCAGCACAAAAGAUUUUCAUGCCCAGGAUGCUGUCUAAAUCGGCUUGAUGGACAAAGAGGCUGUUUGAGCCUCUGAGCCAGGAGACAGAAGUCAAGGUGAAAGAACCGGAGUACCUGGGGCCGCUGCUGUUUGUGAAACUGCGCAAACGGCCCCUCCUUCAGGACGACGCCUGGUUCUGCAGCUGGAUCUCCGUGCAGGGCCCCGGAGCCGGGGACGAGGCCGCACUGUGGGCGAAGACCCUCAGGGCCUGUUCCAGAAACACCGGGAAGAGGAGCUGGAAGAGAGAAGGAAGCUGUACCGGUGAGCCCUUCUCCCCUGGCCCCACCUGAGCUGCUGAUGCUUCCAGCCCCCAGGCCUUAUUUCCUUCCCGCCCCACAGGUGGGGAAACUGGAAGGAUGGGUUAAUUCUGACUGGCUGGGACGAAACUAAGUGACCUCCCUGUGGAUGAGCGAUUUCUGGAAUACAAGAGAGUUGACUUUGAGGUUUCACUGGCUAAGGGGACUCUUACCCCCAGAUCCCACCCAACCCAGAGGAACUGAAAGAAGCAGGGUGUGGAGACCAGAGACUGGGGUCCCUCUGGUAGGCUGGUGUCAAGGGGGCAUGGUUGGUGGGGUUGGAAGGACCAAGAGCUCAGAUCCCACAACUUGCUAAACAACUGCCUUCCCCAGAGCGCGUGCGGGACUCCUGGAAGGAAGAUGCCUUAUUUGGGUACCAGUUUCUUAAUGGCACCAACCCCAUGGUGCUGAGGCGCUCUGCUCACCUUCCUGCCCGCCUUGUGUUCCCUCCAGGCAUGGAGGAACUGCAGGCCCAGCUGGAGAAGGAGCUAAAGGGAGGCACACUGUUUGAAGCUGACUUCUCCCUGCUGGAUGGGAUCAAGGCCAACAUUAUUCUCUGUAGCCAGCAGCACAUGGCUGCCCCUCUGGUCAUGCUGAAACUGCAACCUGAUGGGAAACUCUUGCCCAUGGUCAUCCAGGGACUGAAAGGGGAAGUGGAGGCUGGAGGAGGCACCAGAAGAGCAGUUUCUGCAGAAUGCUGGAGGCAAAGCAGCUUGCAGGGUGCUAAUGCACCGAGCGGGUAGGAAGGGGAGGGGAGGAAAUGGGAGCUGUAGGGAGCCGCAGCAGUGAGAUGGGGAAAGCAAAACACGUUUGGAGGAUGAACGGCAAGGUUAACAUGCAAGGGGGGGCGGGAAUCGCUGCGUGCCCCGCACUCAUGCCUUCUCUCCCCACACCUUGUCCCUGCUCCAGCUCCAACUGCCAGCACAGGAUCCCCACCAUCUCCCCUUUUCUUGCCCAUAGAUCUUCCAAUGGUCUGGCUUCUAGCCAGAUGCUGGGUCCUCAGCUCUGGCUUCCAGCUCCAUGAGCUGCAGUCUCAUCUUCUGAGGGGAUGCUUGAUGGCUGAGGUCAUUGCUGUGGCCACCAUGAGGUGCCUGCCAUCGAUACAUCCUAUCUUCAAGGUAACACCUUAUCCCCUUCUCUCCUGUAUUCAGCUGAAUACUUGAUUUCUCUAGAGUUCUCUUUCUGUACAACACCCUCAAUUUCAGCAUACUGCCCUGUGUAUUCUGGCUGUAUUGGCCUCCCAGUACUGCCAGCUCUGUCUCCUUAACUCAGGAAGAUUAUAGGACUUUGCCAGGGUUGCUCCUCCCUACUCUGCAGCUGGAAAGCUUUCUCCAGGCAGUAAGCUGGGGCAAUUAUGGGGCCCGCUUUUGUCUGUUUCUUCAGUUACUUCAGGCAAGAGGGUAAAUCCAGCUCCUUACUUCAGUCCAGCUGGAGGUCUCCUCAUUAUUUUAUAUACAUUUUGUGGAAGAUUAACUUUACAAUUUAGUUUUUAGAUAACAAUAUUCAGACAGGACGGCAACUCCAUUUAUGGACUAAUUAUCAUAGCUCAGAGAUGAAUAUUACUACUUUCUUCCAGAGAUGGAUGCAGUGACUUUUGCGACUUUGUGUGUCUCUUUUCUCAAGGAGAGACGAAUAGCAUCUUCAUUUCUAUGAAGAAUAGUUGCAUUGUGUUAGAUAGAAAAGAACAUUUUAUUUUAUUUUAUUUUAGAAACAGUCUCACUCUCUCAUCCAGGCUGGAGUGCAGUGGCACGAC